GCUAAAUUUCAGUAUUGUAUGUUCACUGGAUACACUUCUAUAAGGUUUUUGCCUUUUGAAAAAGACUGUUGCACUUUUUCUCCUUGAGUCCUGGGUGAUGCAAUAUAACCUCUUCUUGUUUUAUUUUUCUUUAAAAGAACCCGUCCCUUGCUCAGGUGAAAAUUGAAGAAGCAAAGCGGGAAUUAGAUACCAUUGAAGCUGAACUUACAAAGAAAGUGGACAUGAUGGAACUGUGACCAGUGUCAAGUAAGCUUCAUCUUCCCUAACAGAGUACAUUGAGUAGGACUUGAAAGAAUUGUUUUCUCUUGGCCUUCCUUAAUAACUUAACUCCUGUGUUCUUAGAUGAGAUAGUAAUGUCACUGUUGAUAAACAGUGGUUUCUGGUUAUAUAUUGCAUUUCUGUGCCCAAAUACAUAGUUUUCAUAUUAAAAAGCAUUGUGGGUUCUCUAUGUUGCUGGCAGUUAAGUGUCCCUCACUGGGUCUCUUUGGUGAACAUUAUGAUAUUUGUCAUGCAGUCACUUAUGAGGUCAGCUAAGUGAAGAGUUCUGCAACUUGGUUAUGUUUCUCCCACUCCUCCCUCCAGGGCUCUGCUGUCAUUCCUUCUGAUCAGCUCACCUGCCUAUCCAAAUGUUAAUAUAUGCAGGAAUUUAGUUUAUGAAAGAGAUGACCUUUUAAAUCAGUAGUGGAGAGAUGGAUAAUUCAACACAUGGUGCUAGAUCCUUACUUUACACCUUAUGUCAGGAUAAUCCCAAAAAUCAAAAAUUUAAAUGUUAAAAAAAAAAAAAAAAA